rnacentral:rRNA from 1 species
AAUGUAGGGGGUUUGGGUUGUCCGGAAUUACUGGGCGUAAAGGGCGCGUAGGCGGUUCUUUAAGUCAGAGGUGAAAACUGUCGGCUCAACCGGCAGCCUGCCUUUGAAACUGGAGGACUUGAGGGCAGGAGAGGGGAGUGGAAUUCCCAGUGUAGCGGUGAAAUGCGUAGAUAUUGGGAGGAACACCAGUGGCGAAGGCGGCUCUCUGGCCUGUUACUGACGCUGAGGCGCGAAAGCGUGGACAUCAAACAGGAUUAGAUACCCGGGUAGUCC